UCCAUAUCCCAAGGUUUCCUGAUGCUUUUCCAAGGUUUUAUGGACAAUAUUCCAAGAUUUUCUGACAUUCCGUAAAUUCCUGUCGAUAUCCCGAGGUUUCCUGAUGCUGUUCCAAGGUUUUAUGGAAAAUAUUCCAAGGUUUUUCUGAGGAUAUUCCUUAAAUUCCUGUCGAUAUUCCAAGGGUUUCCUGUGCUUUUUCCAAGGUUUUA